GGCCCGGAGUGUCUGCUCCCCUCGUCGGCCAGGCCGGCGGGCGCCCCGCUGCUCGCGGGUGGGGCGGCUGUGCGUGAGGGGAGCCGGCGCUGCGUGAGGGGCGGGAACGGCCGUGCGUGAGGAGAGUCCCGCCGGCCGCCUGCCCCUCAGUGCCUCUCGCUGCUGGUGUUUACCAGCGCUGCUUGCCCAGGGAGGGAAGGGCUUGUUAUCUUCUCCCCGGUGACUGUCUCUACCUCGGCAAUUACAGUAACAGCGUCCCGGAGGAGGGGGGCAGUAGCCGGGUGCCGGAGCCCCCGCCCGCCGGGAGUCGGGUCUGGCCCUGUGGUGGUAGUCACGGGGCUCCGAGGGGGAGAGAGGCUCGUUAUGGAGGUGCAUGUCCCCCUCCACCCACAUCAGGGAGCAGUUACGGCCUCGCAACCCGGAGGGGAGUGGGGGGCAGAGGGGCUCGAUGGCCUGCUCGGGUUAGGGGUCUCUGCCGCCCCAGCGGGGAAGGGAGUGCAUCCCUCCUGCUCUGGUUUCCAGCCUAAUGCACUGAGGUGGAGCACAGGCAUUACGAGGAGGCACCCUUCGGGCAGAGAUGGCAAAUUCAUGUGUGUGUGACUACCCUGCCCUGCCCCAAAACUCAGCAGCCCAGAAGACUGUGUGGUGACUAAAGAACAUGAGGAAGUGUAACGCCACAAGAGCAAAGACUGGAAGGAAAAAAGAUUUCUGAUCACUUUUUUUUUUUAACAUGAGUAUAAUUCAAAUAUGUUGAAGAUCGAAUGAUUUGCAUUAUACAUGCAAUACUUUCAAUUCAACUAGAGGUGGCUGCUGUCAAUACAUAUCUGUCAAAACCCCAAAGAUCUUCCAAGAAAAUCAAUAAAAAUCCAUUUUUACAAUCCUGAUAUUUUCAGAGUGUUUAAAAAAUUGGCAAAACCCACCCUUUUUUAUACAUUACAAAAAAGCCAAUAAGGUGCAUUAUUGACUUUUCUCAAAUCAUUUUUAAGUGACUGUUAAGGCUGGAUGAGAAUGAGAAGAUGGAGUAUUAACAUGAGUUUUGCAUGUGUUUCACACACCGCAUAUAUGGUGUGGUGUAUGGUAUGGUUCUUCAAAGUGGGGGUUUAAAAAUCCAGGUGUCGUUGUGUAGAAAUCGUGUCAUUGCUUUUUUGGUAUCACUUUCCCUGUGUAGAAUGAAGUAGUACAUGCAUUCAAGUAUAUGUUCUAUCGGUACUUCAGCUUUGGCUACUGUCAAAGACCAUGACAGUGUUUCUGCUACAAACAGGCCAUCAAUGGUGGCUGCGUGAGCAGAGUAGGUACAAUCCAAAUUAAAAAUUAAAAAAAAAAAAAAAAAAGAAAAAAAAAAUCUGGUCAGAGUUUUUAGCCAGGAUGUUAUGGUCUGGUGGAUUCAGACAGAAAAUUAAAUCUGAUAAAUAAAGAGAGCCAAAAUGAAAAACCAAAGCCUAGACUGAGGUAGCAAAAUUGAAGUGAAUUUUAAAACACGCAUACAUAGUGGAGGAAUGUUAUGAUCUUAUUAUUGUAACCUUGAUCCACUCUUUCUCUUCUUCCAGCAUUUAUUGCUCUCAUUAGUUAUGUAAUAUCUAAAAGCAGAUUGUAAAUUUCUUGUGUCGGGACAGUACCUUAAUGUAUUCUGAACAUGCUUAGUAUAACUUUAGACGUUCUGUACAAAAAUAAUAUUACCUCUUGGGUUUUUCUGUAUUAUUUCUAAGCAUAGGAAAAAUUAAAAUGCAGCAAGUCUGGAAAGGUCAAA